rnacentral:rRNA from 1 species
UACAGAGGUGGCAAGCGUUGCUCGGAAUCACUGGGCUUAAAGGGCAUGUAGGCGGGCGAGUAAGCGCCUUGUGAAAUCCCCCGGCUCAACCGGGGAACCGCUUGGCGAACUGCUCGUCUCGAGGGAGACAGGGGCGACCGGAACUCUGGGUGGAGCGGUGAAAUGCGUAGAUAUCCAGGGGAACGCCGGUGGAGAAAUCGG